rnacentral:sRNA from 7 species
UCGAGCGUCAGCGAGAAAGCGUUGCCGCAGGCAACGACCCGAAGGGCGAAGCGCGCAGCGCUGAGUCAUCCUUCCCCCACCACCA